GUCGUUUCUCGGCCUUUUGGCUAAGAUCAAGUGCAGUAUUUGUUCUAAUCAAUUAUGGUAGCACCCACCCUAACUGGUAGAAUAGAGAAACACUUGGUCGAGUCCAGGGGCAGAGUUGCCUGCAUUGAGGCCUGAGCCAUUUUUGCCCCCCCCCUUGCCUUGCAUACCCUGGGGUGCAGUAACUCACA
rfam:Xenopus laevis strain J chromosome 1S, whole genome shotgun sequence.